rnacentral:rRNA from 1 species
UACGGAGGGGGCUAGCGUUGUUCGGAAUUACUGGGCGUAAAGCGCACGUAGGCGGCUUUGUAAGUUAGAGGUUGAAAGCCCAGGGCUUAACCCUGGGAAUUGCCUUUAAGAACUGCGUCGCUAGAAUUGUGGAGAGGUAAGUGGAAUUCCGAGUGUAGAGGUGAAAUUCGUGAGAAUAUUCGGAAGAACACCAGGUGGCGAAGGCGACUUACUGGACACAUAUUGACGCUGAGGUGCGAAAGCG